AUUGAACGCUGGCGGCAGGCUUAACACAUGCAAGUCGAGCGGUAACAGGAAUAGCUUGCUAUUUGCUGACGAGCGGCGGACGGGUGAGUAAUGCUUGGGAAUAUGCCUUAUGGUGGGGGACAACAGUUGGAAACGACUGCUAAUACCGCAUAAUGUCUACGGACCAAAGGGGGGGAUCUUCGGACCUCUCGCCAUUUGAUUAGCCCAAGUGAGAUUAGCUAGUUGGUAAGGUAAUGGCUUACCAAGGCGACGAUCUCUAGCUGGUUUGAGAGGAUGAUCAGCCACACUGGGACUGAGACACGGCCCAGACUCCUACGGGAGGCAGCAGUGGGGAAUAUUGCACAAUGGGGGAAACCCUGAUGCAGCCAUGCCGCGUGUGUGAAGAAGGCCUUCGGGUUGUAAAGCACUUUCAGUUGUGAGGAAAGGUGUGUAGUUAAUAGCUGCAUACUGUGACGUUAACAACAGAAGAAGCACCGGCUAACUUCGUGCCAGCAGCCGCGGUAAUACGAGGGGUGCAAGCGUUAAUCGGAAUUACUGGGCGUAAGGCGUUCGUAGGCGGUUGAAUAAGCAAGAUGUGAAAGCCCAGGGCUCAACCUUGGAACUGCAUUUUGGACUGUUCGACUAGAGUACUGUAGAGGGGGGUAGAAUUUCA
rnacentral:rRNA from 1 species